rnacentral:rRNA from 1 species
CGGAGGGUGCAAGCGUUAUCCGGAUUCACUGGGUUUAAAGGGUGCGUAGGUGGGUUGGUAAGUCAGUGGUGAAAUCUCCAGGCUUAACUUGGAAACUGCCAUUGAUACUAUCAAUCUUGAAUACCGUGGAGGUCAGCGGAAUAUGUCAUGUAGCGGUGAAAUGCUUAGAUAUGACAUAGAACACCAAUUGCGAAGGCAGCUGGCUACACGAAUAUUGACAUUGAUGCACGAAAGCGUGGGGGAUCAAACAGGAUUAGAUACCCUGGUAGUCCACGCCCUAAACGAUGGAUACUCGACAUACGCGAUAUACUGUGUGUGUCUGAGCGAAAGCAUUAAGUAUCCCACCUGGGAAGUACGAUCGCAAGAUUG